rnacentral:rRNA from 2 species
AAACAUUGUUUAUACAAUUAUUAUAAAUAUAACCUGCUCAAUGAAAAAAUUUAAAUAGCUGCAAAUUUUGUACUAAGGUAGCAUAAUCAUUUGUUUUUUAAUUUUAAACUAGAAUGAAAGGUAAAACAAAUCAUUUCUUUAUUUUAUAUUUUAUUUUAACUUAUACUAAAUAUAAAAAUAUAUUUUUUUAAAAAAAAGACGACAAGACCCUAUUGAACUUUACUUUAGUUUAGCUGGGGAAGCUAAAUAAUAAAUAUUUUAUUAUAAAUUUUAUAAAUGACCCAAAACAUUUGAUUAAUUAAUCAAGUUACCAUAGGGAUAACAGCGCAAUAAAUUUUUAAAGUUCUUAUAUAAAAAUUUGCUUACGACCUCGAUGUUGAAUUAGAAAUCUUUAUUAAGCAAAAAUAAUAAAAGUAGGUCUGUUCGACCUUUAAAAUUCUACAUGAUCUGA